rnacentral:rRNA from 1 species
UACGUAGGGUCCGAGCGUUGUCCGGAGUUACUGGGCGUAAAGCGCGCGCAGGCGGCGGUGUUGGCCCGGCGUGAAAGCACCCGGCUCAACCGGGGAGAGUCGUCGGGGACCGCACCGCUUGAGGGCGGUAGGGGCUGGUGGAAUGCCUGGUGUAGUGGUGAAAUGCGUAGAGAUCAGGCAGAACACCUGGGGCGAAGGCGGCCAGCUGGGCCGUCCCUGACGCUGAGGCGCGAAGGCGUGGGGAGCGAACGGG